AGUGAACGCUGGCGGCGGGCCUAAUACAUGCAAGUCGAAGGAAGUGGCGCACGGGGGAGUGAUAUAUAGCUAAUCUGCCCCUUGCUGGAGGGCAACCGUUAGAAAUGACUGCUAAUACUCCAUAGCACGGGAUGAGACGAUAUCGUAUCAGCUAGUCGGGGGGGUAACGGCCUACCGAGGCUAUGACCCGUAACUGGGCUGAGAGGAUGAUCACCAAACUGCUAACGGAGACACGGUUGAAACACCUACCGGAGGCAGCAGUAGGGAAUAUCGCGCAAUGCGCGAGUCCCAGACGGAGCAACGCCGUGUGGAGGAUGAUACUCUUCGAAGAGUAAACUCCUUUUGUUAGGGAAGCGGUACCUAACGAAUAAGCACCGGCUAACUCCGUGCCAGCAGCCGCGGUAAUAC
rnacentral:rRNA from 1 species